rnacentral:lncRNA from 1 species
UUGCUUCUAAAAACUAGGAAGUUACUUGUUACAUCCAUGUUUGAUAAAGGUAAGUAAUUUAAAAUGGUAAGUUACCUAGGUGUUUCCCCACUUUAAGCUUAAACAAAGUUCCAUCGAUCUGGACGGAACUUAAAAUGAGAGGUUCGAUGGGGAAGUUCCUCGUGUGAAAAACCCGCAAGACCCCCGCGUGACAAAGCUCUCUCUUCUCUGUCUCUCUCUCUCUUCUUUGUGCAGAAACCGUAGCCAUUUCCUCUCUCUGGUGAAACAGAACCCGCUUCCUCUCUCUGGCAAAGCUCUCUCUCUUUCUUCUCUUCUCUGCAGAAGAUUUGUCUCUGUGAGAGACAAAAACUCUAGAAGCCCUCUUCUCCCUUCAUUCCUCUAUGACAAAGAUCGUUCUCUCUAGUUAAAUUCCAGUUAAAUUCCAGUUAAAUUCUAGUUAAUUAAGUAGUUAAGCGUUGUAAUCGAUUUUUUGAACUUGUUUAACUUAGAUUGAAUGUUCAAAGGAAAAAAUUGUUAAUUUGUGACUUUUUAUCAUAUAUGAUCGAUUUCUGAACAGUUCACUUUUGAUCCUAAAGGUCUUUAUUUCAUGCUCUUUUGGUUCUGUGAAAUUUUAGAGAGAGAGAGACAGAGGUAUA